UACGUAGGGUGCAAGCGUUAAUCGGAAUUACUGGGCGUAAAGCGUGCGCAGGCGGUUUUGUAAGUCUGAUGUGAAAUCCCCGGGCUUAACCUGGGAACUGCAUUUGUGACUGCAUAGCUAGAGUACGGUAGAGGGGGAUGGAAUUCCGCGUGUAGCAGUGAAAUGCGUAGAUAUGCGGAGGAACACCGAUGGCGAAGGCAAUCCCCUGGACCUGUACUGACGCUCAUGCACGAAAGCGUGGGGAGCAAACAGG
rnacentral:rRNA from 1 species